GAUGAACGCUGGCGGCGUGCUUAACACAUGCAAGUCGAACGGGAAACAUUUUAUUGAAGCUUCGGCAGAUUUUAGUUUGUUUCUAGUGGCGGACGGGUGAGUAACGCGUGGGUAACCUGCCUCACACUGGGGGAUAACAGUCAGAAAUGACUGCUAAUACCGCAUAAGCGCACGAGACCGCAUGGUUUUGUGUAGAAAAAACUCCGGUGGUGUGAGAUGGACCCGCGUUGAUAGCAGUUGCAGGUAACGCCUACCAAAGCGACGAUCCAUAGCCGGCCUGAGAGGGUGAACGGCCACAUUGGGACUGAGACACGGCCCAGACUCCUACGGGAGGCAGCA
rnacentral:rRNA from 1 species